UUUGUAAUUUCAGAAUUGACC
rnacentral:siRNA from 1 species